rnacentral:misc_RNA from 1 species
GUGAAUCAUCAAAUCUUUGAACGCAAAUUGCGCUUCCUGGCAUCCCGGGAAGUAUGCCUGUUUGAGGGUCAGUAUUAACAAAAAAUCGGUUUGGUUGCAAAUUGUGACGUUUCCGGAGUUUGGGCUAUCUUAACUUUUUUGGUUAAGGGGCUUAAAAUUGACCUUUUUUGAGCAUUUUUAGACGUACAUAAAUU